ACGCACGCUGGCGGCAGGCCUAACACAUGCCAGUCGCGCGCCCUUUCGGGGGAGCGGCGGACGGGUGAGUAACGCGUGGGAAUAUGCCCUUCUCUACGGAAUAGCCUCGGGAAACUGAGAGUAAUACCGUAUACGCCCUUUGGGGGAAAGAUUUAUCGGGGAAGGAUUAGCCCGCGUUGGAUUAGGUAGUUGGUGGGGUAAUGGCCUACCAAGCCGACGAUCCAUAGCUGGUUUGAGAGGAUGAUCAGCCACACUGGGACUGAGACACGGCCCAGACUCCUACGGGAGGCAGCAGUGGGGAAUCUUAGACAAUGGGGGCAACCCUGAUCUAGCCAUGCCGCGUGAGUGAUGAAGGCCUUAGGGUUGUAAAGCUCUUUCAGCUGGGAAGAUAAUGACGGUACCAGCAGAAGAAGCCCCGGCUAACUCCGUG
rnacentral:rRNA from 1 species